UAAUUCCGGAAUAAUUCUCACGCGGCGAAUUCAUUGAUCUGUCUUUGACAAUUAUCCGUACAACUUGGUUAAAAAUACGAAUACAUAAACACGGCCAGAUAAGCGGGGACAAUUACCGGAGCGAUUGCGGGAAUUUUAUACGGCGAUAAUCCGAGGUGGGAAAAUAAAUUGACCGUAAAGAUACGAGCAGAAAAUUGCCAAGCCGUCACGCAUCGAGUAACAUUUAUCGUGCGGUUCGUCGAUGCGGGGCUAAUGCCGCCUGCACCACGGAAUUACCAUGUUCAGGAAAUUCUAUCACCGAUCAUUAGGUAUGCGGGACAUGGUAAGAAAUCACUUGUAAUUACAUUUGUUGCUAAACCAGUCAACGAGAUGCUGCGUCGGAAGGUGAUAAAACAUUUACAAAUCGCGAGAAAUUGAUGAAAGUUUUUUUUUUCUUUUUUUUUUUUUUUUUUGUUAACCGGAUCCGUAACAUCCGUUGCAGACAAUUCGAACGAAUCGACGGACUUGAAAUAAUUUUAGUUAAUUCGGAUGCCUAAUUUUAUUCCACGUUUAAAACUGUCAGGCCUCGAGUUAGGCUGUUGAACGUUAUUUUUCAGCAGAGUUUCGUUUCCUUGAGUAUUCUUCGCGUAAGCUGGGCGAAAUUGACGUUUCACAAGUCACUUGAUCCGUGCGUAACGAAUCAGCGAUCGAUACUGCGUAGGUAUCACGUUAUACCGUAGGAAAUUAGAAUCGAGUGACAAAAAAAAAAAAUGUCACGUUCAUUUGUGUUAUGAUACCCUGACAAGGAAACACUUGAGAUUAGUUGUUAUAUCCUUUGAUCUUUUACGCAUUCCGGAAACGAUACAACGAUUAACCUUACGUAUACGAGUAUAAAUAUAUUCUAACCAGCAGCUUAACGUUGUAGAUUUAUUUAAUUAUAGAUAAACAAAUUCACGCACGCCUUGUACAAUUUUAUCUUGUCAAUGCGAUCAUUGAGUGCACGUAAAACAUACGCGCGGUGAAAAUAUACCAGCAAGGUUAAAAAUCGCAAUUACAGGCUGGAAAAUAAUAGCCAAUUAAUACCUGUCUUGUAAUAACGCGAACAAUUCCGCGCCAUCGGACACGGAAUGUGUUAAUUGUUACUAAUCGUUACACAUCUUGGAACGGUGAAAGGGAUUGUAAUUGAUCAAUGCGCAAUCAAAUGAAAAAUUCAUGAGGAUCGAGAGGGUCGCGUAACUUAUCUUGCGGUGUUGAGAUCGCGUGAAAGCAGUUUCUGUUUCUGUGAUUCAUACUUUACAAGCCUAUCAUUUAAGUGUAUUACACUGUGUAUCACAGUUGGCUUCGGCGUUACGCUGGAAUAAUUGAGUAGAAGAAUAAUGAAGAAAAGGAAGUGUCUAUUAAAAGCACGGAAUUCACCGGAGGAUCUUAAUUAAUUAACAAAGUAACUGUCGGCAUGCGUGGAAUUUCUCAAGGAAUUCACGUUUUAAAUUUAUGGUAUUCCAGACUGAAAAUAGGAACUUUUUCAGUAAACUUUCAAAAAAUAUGCGGCUGAUUGACGACGAUUUCUUUACACAUUAAUACUAAUACCUUCGAUAUUAACAUAGUACCUGUAUUACUAUCUGACUGUCAAUUUACAAACAACAGCCCGCGAUUUUCCGCAAGAAGAGAAAUGUAAGAAAGUUUGAAAAAUGAAGAGGGUACAUAAAAAGUGUGAAGUGGUGAGACGAAACGAAGAUUUGUGUGUGGUUGUUUUUCUUUUUUUCUUUAGCUCGAUAGAACUUUGUGUGAAAACGAGUUUCUUUCUACGACGGAUUCCAAAUUCCUGUCUUAUUUUCGAAAUUCCCUGAAUUUUCCCAGUUUUCUAGAUUUUCACUAUGCGUACGAACCGUGAGUUUUCAUCGGCCGACAUGUUUUUUUUUUUUUCAAACGAUUUAAAAGCUCUCUUGUACCAUGUUACAUGAAAAUAUGACCAUUUUUUUUUUUUUUUUUUUGAAUUCUAAACCAUUAUAAUGGAUUCACCAUUACAAACUUUGAAAGUUUGACCUUGAAUUCAUUAUAAUUCGAAAAUUUUAACAUUUUGGAUUUCGUGAAUCUGACCUCAGAUUCGUGAUUAGCCACUUAAAAAAACCUUCGAGUAUCAAUUUUCACAAAAACCCAAAUGUUCUUAAUUUUCUUUUUUUCUCAACAUAUUCAAUACGCCAAAUUUAAAUUUUGGAAAUGCGAAUUUAGAUUCGGGAUGAGCGACCUAAAAAACUUGUAAUUACAUUUGUUGCUCUGAUCAGUUCUAAGUUUGGAAAAGCCGCGUCGAUCGAGACCAAAAUCGUCGAACAAAAAAAUGAUCACACACCGAAACCCAACUUUUAAUUUUCGGGGUGAUUACAGUAACUACGUUCUUUCCCUUAAAGCAGAUAAACGGGCAGCCAAAAAAUACCAACCGCGUGAACUCGGCAGUCAUUUUUUGCGCAAUCGUUCGGUACAGGUGGAAGUAAAAGUGUGAUAAAAAAAAAAAAAAAAGAAACAAAAAAAAUCACAAGCUAAACCUUGUAUACACAAAGAAGACCUUGUUCUCCUAUCGGGGUGA
rnacentral:lncRNA from 1 species